rnacentral:rRNA from 1 species
GACGAACCGUGCGAACGUUGUUCGGAGUUACUGGGCGUAAAGAGUGUGUAGGCGGUGCUUUAAGUUUGGUGUGAAAUCUCCCGGCUCAACCGGGAGGGUGCGCCGAAGACUGGAGUGCUUGAGUAUGGGAGAGGAAAGCGGAAUUCCUGGUGUAGCGGUGAAAUGCGUAGAUAUCAGGAGGAACACCUGCGGUGUAGACGGCUUUCUGGACCAUCACUGACGCUGAGACACGAAAGCGUGGGUAGCAAACAG